rnacentral:rRNA from 1 species
AAAUUGAAGAGUUUGAUCAUGGCUCAGAUUGAACGCUGGCGGCAGGCCUAACACAUGCAAGUCGAACGGUAACAGGAAGCAGCUUGCUGUUUUGCUGACGAGUGGCGGACGGGUGAGUAAUGUCUGGGAAACUGCCUGAUGGAGGGGGAUAACUACUGGAAACGGUGGCUAAUACCGCAUAACGUCGCAAGACCAAAGAGGGGGACCUUCGGGCCUCUUGCCAUCAGAUGUGCCCAGAUGGGAUUAGCUUGUUGGUGAGGUAACGGCU